AUACGGAGGGUGCAAGCGUUACUCGGAAUCACUGGGCGUAAAGGACGCGUAGGCGGAUUGGAAAGUCAGAUGUGAAAUCCUACAGCUUAACUGUAGCACUGCAUUUGAAACUUCUAAUCUAGAGUAUGGGAGGGGGAGAUGGAAUUAGUGGUGUAGGGGUAAAAUCCGUAGAUAUCGCUAGGAAUACCGAAAGCGAAGGCGAUCUCCUGGAACAUAACUGACGCUAAGGCGUGAAAGCGUGGGGAGCAAACGGGAUUAGAAACCCUAGUAGUCC
rnacentral:rRNA from 1 species